GCCGGGCGUGGUGGCUCAUGCCUGUAAUCCUAGCACUCUGGGAGGCAGAGGCAGGAGGAUCACCUGAGGUCAGGAGUUCAAGACCAGCCUGGCCAACAUAGUGAAACCCUGUCUCUA
rnacentral:SRP_RNA from 1 species